GAUGAACGCUGACAGAAUGCUUAACACAUGCAAGUCAACUUGAAUUUGGGUUUUUAACUUAGGUUUGGGUGGCGGACGGGUGAGUAACGCGUAAAGAACUUGCCUCACAGUCAGGGACAACAUUUGGAAACGAAUGCUAAUACCUGAUAUUAUGAUUAUAUGGCAUCCUAUAAUUAUGAAAGCUAUAAGCGCUGUGAGAGAGCUUUGCGUCCCAUUAGCUAGUUGGAGAGGUAACGGCUCACCAAGGCGAUGAUAGGUAGCCGGCCUGAGAGGGUGAUCGGCCACAAGGGGACUGAGACACGGCCCUUACUCCUACGGGAGGCAGCAGUGGGGAAUAUUGGACAAUGGACCAAGAGUCUGAUCCAGCAAUUCUGUGUGCACGAUGAAGUUUUUCGGAAUGUAAAGUGCUUUCAGUUGGGAAGAAAAAAAUGACGGUACCAACAGAAGAAGUGACGGCUAAAUACGUGCCAGCAGCCGCGGUAAUACGUAUGUCACGAGCGUUAUCCGGAUUUAUUGGGCGUAAAGCGCGUCUAGGUGGUUAUGUAAGUCUGAUGUGAAAAUGCAGGGCUCAACUCUGUAUUGCGUUGGAAACUGUAUAACUAGAGUACUGGAGAGGUAAGCGGAACUACAAGUGUAGAGGUGAAAUUCGUAGAUAUUUGUAGGAAUGCCGAUGGGGAAGCCAGCUUACUGGACAGAUACUGACGCUGAAGCGCGAAAGCGUGGGUAGCAAACAGG
rnacentral:rRNA from 1 species